rnacentral:lncRNA from 1 species
UCCUUGUUAUUCUCAUAAUUUGAUAUAAAAUCCCUAAAUAAAUUAAUUUUAUAGCUAAAUAAUUCUUCUUGCCCUUGAAACAACCAUCACUUUUUAUAUAAAUUCUCAUCCAAAAUCAACUUUCAACUCUCAAUAUAUAUCUUUUUAUAAGAUGAAUUACAGUGCAAUUUCUUUUUCCAAUUUCUUUUCUCCAAAUAAUUCUUCUUGUACCUUCCAAUUUCUUUCUCUAAAUAAUUCUUCUUGCACCUUGAAACAUCAUCACUUUUCUUAUAUAUUUCUCAAUCCAUUAAUUUUUUUCGUAGUAUAUAUCUCCUUGGAGGAAAAAUUACAGUGCAAUAUCUUGUCAAAAAGACUAUAUUUAAGAGAAAAAAGUUGUUGCAUGACCUUUCUCUUUCACUUUUGUUAAAGAAAUGACAUUUUAAAGAAGAAGAUGAUGCAAAGUUGACGAUCUCAGUGUUGUUGGAGAAAAGGUUAUUACAUGAUCUUUUUCUUUUACUUUUGUUAAAGAAAUCACAUUUCAAAGAAGAAGAAGAAAAUGUAAAGUUAAG